UACAGAGGGGGCUAGCGUUGUUCGGAAUUACUGGGCGUAAAGGGCGCGUAGGCGGCCCUCUAAGUCGAACGUGAAAUCCCCGGGCUCAACCCGGGAACUGCGUCCGAUACUGGAGGGCUCGAAUCCGGGAGAGGGAUGUGGAAUUCCAGGUGUAGCGGUGAAAUGCGUAGAUAUCUGGAGGAACACCGGUGGCGAAGGCGGCAUCCUGGACCGGUAUUGACGCUGAGGCG
rnacentral:rRNA from 1 species